UCUCACCAGUUUUACCCAUGGUACUUGGAGAGGGGCUGGCUGUGAUCAGUUUGAUCCAUCAAAGUGACUCAUACACGGCUGUCCUCUCUGUUACUGUCAGAGUCUGCCUCAGAGGGCUU
rnacentral:precursor_RNA from 13 species